UACAGAGGUCCCAAGCGUUGUUCGGAUUCACUGGGCGUAAAGGGUGCGCAGGCGGUUUUGUAAGUCUGUCGUGAAAUCCCCGGGCUCAACCUGGGAAUUGCGAUGGAGACUGCAAGGCUAGAAUCUGGCAGAGGGGGGUAGAAUUCCACGUGUAGCAGUGAAAUGCGUAGAUAUCUGGAGGAACACCGGUGGCGAAGGCGGCAUCCUGGACCGGUAUGACGCUGAUGCGCGAAAGCCAGGGGAGCAAACGGG
rnacentral:rRNA from 1 species